rnacentral:rRNA from 1 species
UUUCCAGACUCCUACGGGAGGCAGCAGUGAGGAAUAUUGGUCAAUGGGCGGGAGCCUGAACCAGCCAAGCCGCGUGAAGGAAGAAGGCGCCAGGCGUCGUAAACUUCUUUUGUCGGGGAACAAAGGGCGCCACGCGUGGCGUUGUGAGUGUACCCGAAGAAAAAGCAUCGGCUAACUCCGUGCCAGCAGCCGCGGUAAUACGGAGGAUGCGAGCGUUAUCCGGAUUUAUUGGGUUUAAAGGGUGCGCAGGCGGAAUGUCAAGUCAGCGGUAAAAUUUCGGGGCUCAACCCCGUCGUGCCGUUGAAACUGACGCCCUUGAGUGAGUGAGAAGUAUGCGGAAUGCGUGGUGUAGCGGUGAAAUGCAUAGAUAUCACGCAGAACUCCGAUUGCGAAGGCAGCAUACCGGCGCCCGACUGACGCUGAAGCACGAAAGCGUGGGUAUCGAACAGGAUUAGAUACCCCCGUAU